AUUGAACGCUGGCGGCAGGCCUAACACAUGCAAGUCGAACGGUAACAGGAAGCAGCUUGCUGCUUCGCUGACGAGUGGCGGACGGGUGAGUAAUGUCUGGGAAGCUGCCUGAUGGAGGGGGAUAACUACUGGAAACGGUAGCUAAUACCGCAUAAUGUCGCAAGCCCAAAGAGGGGGACCUUCGGGCCUCUUGCCAUCGGAUGUGCCCAGAUGGGAUUAGCUUGUUGGUGGGGUAACGGCUCACCAAGGCGACGAUCCCUAGCUGGUCUGAGAGGAUGACCAGCCACACUGGAACUGAGACACGGUCCAGACUCCUACGGGAGGCAGCAGUGGGGAAUAUUGCACAAUGGGCGCAAGCCUGAUGCAGCCAUGCCGCGUGUAUGAAGAAGGCCUUCGGGUUGUAAAGUACUUUCAGCGGGGAGGAAGGGAGUAAAGUUAAUACCUGUGCUCAUUGACGUUACCCGCAGAAGAAGCACCGGCUAACUCCGUG
rnacentral:rRNA from 1 species